AUACGGAGGGUGCAAGCGUUAUUCGGAAUCACUGGGCGUAAAGGACGCGUAGGCGGGUUGGCAAGUCAGAUGUGAAAUCCUACAGCUUAACUGUAGAACUGCAUUUGAAACUGCUAACCUAGAGUAUGGGAGGGGGAGAUGGAAUUAGUGGUGUAGGGGUAAAAUCCGUAGAUAUCACUAGGAGUACCGAAAGCGAAGGCGAUCUCCUGGAACAUAACUGACGCUAAGGCGUGAAAGCGUGGGGAGCAAACAGGAUUAGAAACCCUAGUAGUCC
rnacentral:rRNA from 1 species